GGCGCGGUAGCUCAGGUGGUUAGAGCGUUGGAUUCAUAACCCAAAGGUCGGGGGUUCAACUCCCCCCCGCGCUACAA
rnacentral:tRNA from 1 species